rnacentral:rRNA from 1 species
GAAACGACUGCUAAGACUGGAUAGGAAAAGUAAAGGCACCUUUACUUUUUUAAAAGAUCUUCUUUGAAGGUAUGCUUAAGGAGGGGCUUGCGACACAUUAGGUAGUUGGUAGGGUAAAGGCCUACCAAGACUAUGAUGUGUAGCUGGACUGAGAGGUUGAACAGCCACAUUGGGACUGAGACACGGCCCAAACUCCUACGGGAGGCAGCAGUAGGGAAUUUUCGGCAAUGGAGGAAACUCUGACCGAGCAACGCCGCGUGAACGAUGAAGUACCUCGGUAUGUAAAGUUCUUUUAUUAAGGAAGAAAAAAGAGUGGAAAAACUCCCUUGACGGUACUUAAUGAAUAAGCCCCGGCUAAUUAUGUGCCAGCAGCCGCGGUAAUACAUAAGGGGCGAGCGUUAUCCGGAAUUAUUGGGCGUAAAGGGUGCGUAGGCGGUUUAAUAAGUCUAUAGUUUAAUUUCAGUGCUUAACGCUGUUGUGCUAUAGAAACUGUUUUACUAGAGUGAGAUAGAGGCAAGCGGAAUUCCAUGUGUAGCGGUAAAAUGCGUAAAUAUAUGGAGGAACACCAGAGGCGUAGGCGGCUUGCUGGGUCUUUACUGACGCUGAAGNCACGAAAGCGUGGGGAGCAAACCGGAUUAGAUACCCUGGUAGUCCACGCCGUAAACGAUGAGUACUAAGUGUCGGGUAAAACUGGUACUGAAGUUAACACAUUAAGUACUCCGCCUGAGUAGUACGUACGCAAGUAUGAAACUUAAAGGAAUUGACGGGACUCCGCACAAGCGGUGGAUCAUGUUGUUUAAUUCGAAGAUACACGAAAAACCUUACCAGGUCUUGACAUUUUCUUGCGAAGUUAUAGAAAUAUAAUGGAGGUCAUCAGGAAAACAGGUGGUGCAUGGUUGUCGUCAGCCCGUGUCGUGAGAUGUUAGGUUAAGUCCUAAAACGAGCGCAACCCUUGUCGUUAGUUGCCAGCAUGUAAUGAUGGGGACUUUAACGAGACUGCCAAUGAAAAAUUGGAGGAAGGUGGGGAUUACGUCAAAUCAUCAUGCCCCUUAUGAUCUGGGCUACAAACGUGAUACAAUGGUUGAUACAAAGAGUAGCUGGAACGCGAGUUCUUAGCCAAUCUCAAAAAUCAAUCUCAGUUCGGAUUGAAGUCUGCAACUCGACUUCAUGAAGUUGGAAUCGCUAGUAAUCGCGAAUCAGCGUGUCGCGGUGAAUACGUUCGCGGGGUUUGUACACACCGCCCGUCA